rnacentral:tRNA from 1 species
GCGCCGAUGGUUUAGUGGUAAAAUUCUCCGUUGCCAUCGUGCAGCGUCGGGGAGCCGGGGGUUCGAUUCCCCCUCGGCGCA